rnacentral:rRNA from 1 species
UGGGGAAUUUUGGACAAUGGGGGAAACCCUGAUCCAGCCAUCCCGCGUGUGCGAUGAAGGCCUUCGGGUUGUAAAGCACUUUUGGCAGGAAAGAAACGUCGCGGGUUAAUACCCCGCNAAACUGACGGUACCUGCAGAAUAAGCACCGGCUAACUACGUGCCAGCAGCCGCGGUAAUACGUAGGGUGCAAGCGUUAAUCGGAAUUACUGGGCGUAAAGCGUGCGCAGGCGGUUCGGAAAGAAAGAUGUGAAAUCCCAGAGCUUAACUUUGGAACUGCAUUUUUAACUACCGGGCUAGAGUGUGUCAGAGGGAGGUGGAAUUCCGCGUGUAGCAGUGAAAUGCGUAGAUAUGCGGAGGAACACCGAUGGCGAAGGCAGCCUCCUGGGAUAACACUGACGCUCAUGCACGAAAGCGUGGGGAGCAAACAGGAUUAGAUACCCUGGUAGUCC